rnacentral:tRNA from 1 species
GGUCCCAUAGCUCAGCUGGUUAGAGCAUCUGACUCAUAAUCAGGGGGUCCAUGGUUCGAGCCCAUGUGGGACCA